CCUACGGGAGGCAGCAGUAAGGAAUAUUGGUCAAUGGACGAAAGUCUGAACCAGCCAUGCCGCGUGAAGGAUUAAGGCCCUCUGGGUUGUAAACUUCUUUUAUCUGGGACGAAAAAAGGGUAUUCUUACUCACUUGACGGUACCAGAGGAAUAAGCACCGGCUAACUCCGUGCCAGCAGCCGCGGUAAUACGGAGGGUGCAAGCGUUAUCCGGAUUUACUGGGUUUAAAGGGUGCGUAGGUGGGUCUGUAAGUCAGUGGUGAAAUCUCCGAGCUUAACUCGGAAACUGCCAUUGAUACUAUAGAUCUUGAAUUAUCUGGAGGUAAGCGGAAUAUGUCAUGUAGCGGUGAAAUGCUUAGAUAUGACAUAGAACACCAAUUGCGAAGGCAGCUUACUACGGAUAUAUUGACACUGAGGCACGAAAGCGUGGGGAUCAAACAGGAUUAGAUACCCUGGUAGUCCACGCCCUAAACGAUGGAUACUCGACAUCAGCGAUACACUGUUGGUGUCUGAGCGAAAGCAUUAAGUAUCCCACCUGGGAAGUACGAAUCGCAAGAUUGAAACUUCAAAUUGAAUUGACGGG
rnacentral:rRNA from 1 species